AAGAAAGAUUAAUACCUGAUAGUAUGGUGAGAUUGCAUGAUAGCACCAUUAAAGAUUUAUUGGUAAACGAUGGGGAUGCGUUCCAUUAGGUAGUAGGCGGGGUAACGGCCCACCUAGCCGACGAUGGAUAGGGGUUCUGAGAGGAAGGUCCCCCACAUUGGAACUGAGACACGGUCCAAACUCCUACGGGAGGCAGCAGUGAGGAAUAUUGGUCAAUGGGCGAGAGCCUGAACCAGCCAAGUAGCGUGAAGGAUGAAGGUCCUACGGAUUGUAAACUUCUUUUAUACGGGAAUAAAGUAUCCUACGUGUAGGAUUUUGUAUGUACCGUAUGAAUAAGCAUCGGCUAACUCCGUG
rnacentral:rRNA from 1 species